rnacentral:sRNA from 2 species
AGCAAGGGAAACUAGGGUUCCGGCCUUUUUAAUUAAAGGUGUCUGGUCCGAGAGUUUCCGGUCUCGUCAUAACGAGGCUCCACGGAGGGAUAAAAACCCGGGAGAU